UCGGGUUGUAAAGCACUUUCAAUAGGGAAGAAAUCCUUAAGGAUAAUACCCAUUAGGGACUGACGUUACCUAUAGAAGAAGCACUGGCUAACUCUGUGCCAGCAGCCGCGGUAAUACAGAGAGUGCGAGCGUUAAUCGGAAUCACUGGGCGUAAAGCGCGCGUAGGUUGAUAUUUAAGUCGGAUGUGAAAGCCCUGGGCUUAACUUAGGAAUUGCAUCCGAUACUGGAUGUCUCGAGUAUAGUAGAGGGAAGUGGAAUUUCCGGUGUAGCGGUGAAAUGCGUAGAUAUCGGAAAGAACACCAGUGGCGAAGGCGGCUUCCUGGACUAAUACUGACACUGAGGUGCGAAAGCGUGGGGAGCAAACAGGAUUAGAGACCCUGGUAGUCCACGCCGUCAACGAUGAGAACUAGCUGUUGGAAAGUUUUCUUUUUAGUAGCGAAGCUAACGCGUUAAGUUCUCCGCCUGGGGAGUACGGCCGCAAGGCUAAAACUCAAAGAAAUUGACGGGGGCCCGCACAAGCGGUGGAGCAUGUGGUUUAAUUCGAUGCAACGCGAAAAACCUUACCUACCCUUGACAUCCUC
rnacentral:rRNA from 1 species